rnacentral:rRNA from 1 species
GAUGAACGCUGGCGGCGUGCCUAAUACAUGCAAGUCGAGCGAACGGACGAGAAGCUCGCUUUUCUGAUGUUCGCGGCGGACGGGUGAGUAACACGUGGAUAACCUACCUAUUAGACUGGGAUAACUUCGGGAAACCGGAGCUAAUACCGGAUACUAUUUUGAACCGCAUGGUUCAAAAGUGAAUGACGGUCUUGCUGCCACUUAUAGAUGGAUCCGCGCUGCAUUAGCUAGUUGGUAAGGUAACGGCUUACCAAGGCAACGAUGCAUAGCCGACCUGAGAGGGGGAUCGGCCACACUGGAACUGAGACACGCUCCAGACGCCUACGGGAGGCAGCAGUAGGAGUUCGUCCGCAAUGAGCGAAAGCCUGACGGAGCAACGCCGCGUGAGUGAUGAAGGUCUUCGAAUCGUAAAACGCUGUUAUUAGGGAAGAACAGAUGUGUAAGGAACUGUGCACAUCUUGACGGUACCUAAUCAGAAAGCCACGGCUAACAACGUG